AUUGAACGCUGGCGGUAUGCUUAACACAUGCAAGUCGAACGGCAGCACAGUAAGAGCUUGCUCUUACGGGUGGCGAGUGGCGGACGGUUGAGGAAUACAUCGGAAUCUACUUUUUCGUGGGGGAUAACGUAGGGAAACUUACGCUAAUACCGCAUACGACCUACGGGUGAAAGCAUGGGAUCUUCGGACCUUGCGCGAGUGAAUGAGCCGAUGUCUGAUUAGCUAGUUGGCGGGGUAAAGGCCCACCCAGGCGACGAUCCUUAGCUGGUCUGAGAGGAUGAUCAGGCACACUGGAACUGAGACAAGGUCCAGACUCCUACGGGAGGCAGCAGUGGGGAAAAUUGGACAAUGGGCGGAAGCCUGAUCCAGCCAUACCGGGUGGGUGAAGAAGGGCUUCGGGUUUUAAAGCUGCUUUGUUGGGAAAGAAAAGCAGCCGGUUAAUACCCCGCUGUUCUGACGGUAACCAAAGAAUAAGCAACGGCUAACUUCGUG
rnacentral:rRNA from 1 species